rnacentral:snoRNA from 2 species
CCCCUCUCACGGUCGCACUUGGAGAGUUUCCAGUACUCUACCAGUCUCAACUGUGGGAGGGAGAGUCAAGCAGAGGCCUACCCAUUCCAUUUCUAGCUAGGGCAGUGGUUAGCCAGUGGAAGGCAAUCCGCAACAAGG